UGGGGAAUAUUGCACAAUGGGCGCAAGCCUGAUGCAGCCAUGCCGCGUGUGUGAAGAAGGCCUUCGGGUUGUAAAGCACUUUCAGCGGGGAGGAAGGCGAUAAGGUUAAUAACCUUGUCGAUUGACGUUACCCGCAGAAGAAGCACCGGCUAACUCCGAGCCAGCAGCCGCGGUAAUACGGAGGGUGCAAGCGUUAAUCGGAAUUACUGGGCGUAAAGCGCACGCAGGCGGUCUGUCAAGUCGGAUGUGAAAUCCCCGGGCUCAACCUGGGAACUGCAUUCGAAACUGGCAGGCUAGAGUCUUGUAGAGGGGGGUAGAAUUCCAGGUGUAGCGGUGAAAUGCGUAGAGAUCUGGAGGAAUACCGGUGGCGAAGGCGGCCCCCUGGACAAAGACUGACGCUCAGGUGCGAAAGCGUGGGGAGCAAACAGG
rnacentral:rRNA from 1 species